AUUUUAAGUUGGAUAGGAGAGAAAUUUCGCGUAGCAGUUGGGUUUCAUCAAAUCAUAUACAUAUGCGACUUAUACACCGUAGGAGCAAAAAUCAAGUCUUCCGCAGAAUUUUCCAGAAUGACUGACUUCUCCAAGGAGUCACUUAUUGACGUAAACUGUCGAUAUAAGCCGGAUUAAAAGAGAUUAUGACAGUGAUACAAAAUCAAUCAACGAAAAAUUUCGACCAGAUCUCGACGGCGAAACCCAUCCCUGCACAAAACGUACAAUUCGUACCAUGGUAUGAUAAAGUGAUCAAUGAUGAUGUGGCAGACGAGUCAUCGUUAGGAACGAGUCAUAUAUGACUAAUAUCUAAUGAAGACCCCGCUGAUGUAUCUUGAAUGGUAAUUGUUAACAAGAAACAAGAACAUAAGAAGGACCUCUUUAUAUAUCCCAUCAUUGUAGUGGAAGGUGUGAGUAUCCGGAAGUUAUCAUUAAUACAAAAAAUAGACAGUUUGACGGAUGUCAUGAUACAGUAGUAAUAGAAAUUACCCCAAGUCGUGUCAUCAAUUUAUGUAGAAGGCGGGCUUACCUUGAAGAAACCAUCCAAUCAAUAAAUAGGUAAAUUGUCGAAUUUUAUGCCACAAUAUAAAUUCAGAAAUGAAAUCAGGUUUAACGUCCUUCCUUUCUGCACCGAUCGGGAUAAUGAAGACAGACUUAGGGAAAUUUGGCCCGAAUAGCUGUGCUGUAGUUUUUUCCCUUUCCAUCGAGCUCAAAAGUGCUGACAGUAGUAGCUUUAGACCGGGUUUCGUUUUUUGUCCUAUCUGAACGACAAGGUGCUUUUGUCAUAUCAGACCCUCUGGCAAGGGGAAACUGGGCAGGACCAUCACGAGGAACUCUAUCGGCCUACACCGCUUCAAACAAAAAUAUGGCAAUUUUUAUUCUAGAGUUACGAACGUGUGUAAUUUGAUGUUUUAAAAUUCGUUAAGAAUUGAUAUUAUAAGUAUCUAAAAUAUGAUUUAACAUCGUAAUUAGCAACCUGCUUUUUUCUACAAAUUGGCCUUGAAGAAUCUUCUGAACCAUCUUCAACUGUGAAAAUCCUUACAUGCCUUUAAACCCCAUUUCUUUUCUUUCAAUGGAACAAACACAAAAUAAAUAUUUAGCUUACCUUGUCAAUGUAGAAUCUGAGACUAGCUGCUUAGACGUGUAUUUGUCAGGCUAAAACCUCACCAUACAAAUUGUAUAGUAUACCCCCACUAUAAGUAAACAUUACCUAUAUCUAAUAGUAAAACCUGUGUAGUAUUGAGAAAUAUAGGCCAGUUUAUAUAAUUGUACUAUGACAAUGCAUGUCCCUUUCAUUUUUAGAUCAUACUAUACAUUCGAAGAAUCUCAGAUUUCUCACACUAGCCUU